rnacentral:tRNA from 1 species
CCUCCGAUAGCUCAACGGUAGAGCGGUGCACAAUUAAUGCAUAAAGAUGCUGGUUCGAUUCCAGCUCGGAGGA